GCUUCUCCACUCAUUCGGGGCCGGAGAAGCCGGGAGAGGGAGCCACGUCGACCUCACCGACGGACCGGACCGGACCGGACCGGACCGGACCGGACCCAGAGACCCCUCACCCUUUUUGCCCCAGUGUGGAAGAAACCUGAGUUGCUGUGUGAUUUCCCCUUUCUUUUGUGAGCUGCAGUAAUAAAACCGUUGCACCGCAACCGUGCUCGAGCGUUUGUUUCGGGAAUCGCAGCCGCCGACGACCGGGGUUGCCACAAUAUCUACUCAUGUUCGACUCAAAGGCUGGUGAGUGAGUCUUUGAAAAGUCAAGCCAAUCAGAGAGUGAGGGACUUCUACAGCCGCCCAGGUGCUCUUCAACCAACUCAAGGCCCAUCCCACCUCCUGGCCAUGGUCAGACUGUCCCCCCCCCCCCGUUCUGGCGGGGCCCCUCCCUCACUACGCCCCGUCUGAACUAAACCCGUCUCCUCCCGCUGACACCAGCAUGUCUCAGUCCAGGAGACGCCGACGGGGCAGGACCUCGUCAUACUGCAUCCCGGCCCAGGAAGGAGAAUUAUCUGACUGCAUUUCUCCGUUCUCCUAUUGCUGCGUUGUAAAAUGGAGCACUUGGAGCAGGCUGCUUAUUGGAUGAAUGUUAUGUACUUGCAUUAAUCAUAUUGUUUCUUGGUUGCUUCUUCAUGGUUGAACUAACUUGUCAGUAGCUUUGGAUAGAAGCGUCAGCUGAAUAAAUGUAAUGUUAUGUAAUGUAGUUUGCACUUUUGUAAAAUAGCAGCAACCAAAUAUUACAAAGAUUGGCAUAUGCAAGGAAUCAACACUGAAUAUACUGAUGAUGAAGAAAUUAGGACUCAUGGAUGCUUGUACUAUAAGAAAAGUGUGUGUGUGUGUCAGGGUGAUUAGUGGGUUGGUUAAUGAUCUGCAGGGGCAAUGCCAAAUUAACAAUGCAACCUCUUUAAUGAGUCUCUGUUAGCCCCUGUACCCUGAGUUACAGCCAUCAUGCACACGUGUGCACAGACACGCACAUCCUAAGAGGCGCACAUGCACACACACACAUAAUCGGCAGCUUUGGGCCCUUGAGAUACAAUCUCACUACAUUAGUGUCUAAUUGAUUGUGAACGGGCAAGGUGAGAGAAAAGAGCAAUGCAGCCGCAGUGAGCAGGUAACAGGAUGUGGAAGGGUGGUCCAAUCUAUGAGGAAAUGAAGUUCACAAUCCCACCUACAAACAAGCUAAAGUAGUGACAACAGAGAAGUACAAGCGCUAUAGAAGUGCCUACAAUGUACACCCUCUCAAAAACAACGUUGCAUGUUUUCCUUUUACUGUUUAUGUUUUAAAUGUUAACAACCCCUUUUUUAACUUUUUUUUCUAUCGCUUAAACUCUGUAGCACUUUGAGAUUUCCGAAUGUAAAGUGCUCUUCAAAUUAAAUAUAUUAUUACACGCACACAUAAACAGUCAUACGCGCAUGUGUACACACACGCAUGUAUGCACAAACGCACCCACGUGCACACUCAAGCACAUACACGUAACCCAAGUGAUGGCCAAAGAGAUACAUGCUGGAAUAUGGCUGACAAUGCAAUAAAAGGCUGUUCUAUUGGAAGGCUUUAUUGUGUGAAUGCCUGGGGACAGAACACAG
ensembl:lncRNA